rnacentral:rRNA from 1 species
GACGAACGCUGGCGGCGUGCUUAACACAUGCAAGUCGAACGGAAAGGCCCUGCUUUUGUGGGGUGCUCGAGUGGCGAACGGGUGAGUAACACGUGAGUAUCCUGCCCUUGACUUUGGGAUAACUUCAGGAAACUGGGGCUAAUACCGGAUAGGAGCUCCUGCUGCAUGGUGGGGGUUGGAAAGUUUCGGCGGUUGGGGAUGGACUCGCGGCUUAUCAGCUUGUUGGUGGGGUAGUGGCUUACCAAGGCUUUGACGGGUAGCCGGCCUGAGAGGGUGACCGGCCACAUUGGGACUGAGAUACGGCCCAGACUCCUACGGGAGGCAGCAGUGGGGAAUAUUGCACAAUGGGCGGAAGCCUGAUGCAGCAACGCAGCGUGCGGGAUGACGGCCUUCGGGUUGUAAACCGCUUUCGCCUGUGACGAAGCGUGAGUGACGGUAAUGGGUAAAGAAGCACCGGCUAACUACGUG